AUGGAGGUGUUUCAGUACAAGUGGACCAACUAUCUCACAUGUUGGCACCCUUGUUGGUUUAUUCUAGACAAUGGAAUUCUGUCCUACUAACAUCCAUAGGACGAUGUCUUCAAAGGAAGUAUAAACAUGGCAGUUUGUGAGAUUAAAACCCAUUCAACAGACAACACAAGAAUAAAAUUAACAAUUUCCAGGAAAACAGCAUGUCUUAGUCAGGGUUUCUAUUCCUGGACAAAACAUCAUGACCAAGAACCAAGAUGGGGAGGAAAGGGUUUAUUCAGCUUACACUUCCACAUUGCUGUUCAUCACCAAAGGAAGUCAGGACUGGAUCUCAAGCAGGUCAGGAAGGAGUUGAUGCAGAGGCCAUGGAGGGAUGUUACUGGCUUCCCCUGGCUUACUCGGAUCACUACCAGCCCAGGGAUGGCACCACCCACAAUGGGCCCUCCCCACUUGAUCACUAAUUGAGAAAAUGCCUUACAGAUGGAUCUCAUGGAGGUACUUCCUUCACUGAAGCUCCUUUCUCUGUGAUAACUCUGGCCUGUGUCAAUUUGACACACAAAACCAGUCAGUACACAGCAUUUCUACAUGAGGGCAGUAAAUGCCACCAAGAAUCAAGGUGUCUGGUUACCCUUAGGAGCUCCAAAACAUGUUUGACUGACAAUAGGACUAAGAAAGAAAAAGAAACAGGAGACUAGUAAUCUUUGAAAACCAAACUGUCUGAAUUUCGCAUCUAUUGUGAUCUCCUAAUAGAGCAGGCUUGAAUUAUCCAGGAGUUUGUACACCAUGCUAAGAAUUAUCCAUGAAUGAGGCUUCUUCCCUGUAAUAUGUUCAACAAAACACUUGAGGAAUGUGUAGAGAUAGCAAAUGCCGAGUGUAAAACUGAAAUGUUUCAAAGGCUGGAUCCCUCAGCUUCUCUUAUGUUUCCCUCUGUGCAGAUGAUGAGGGAUCUGUUAGCCACCCUAGUUCCUGCAGUUCAGAGAGGAGCAGUUGUUCUAUCACAGACCCAGCAUCUGCCCUUCACUUUCUUUCUCAGUGACACCAAAACACUUGGACAGAAUCUUGUGAUGAUAGUCCACUUGAGGACCCAGACAGACCUCUUCACUGUGCAGGAAACAUGCUUUGUUAUGAUUCAGCAUCAGUAACCAUUCCUGAAGAAAGCAAUUUUAUGGCCAAAAUACAAUUAGAAGAACCUCUUCCACCCUCUUCAUGA
rnacentral:lncRNA from 1 species